CGAUUUUGCUGCUUGGAGUCCCUGUUCAAGAGAGCUGUAACACUAAGAAGAGCUGUAACACUGAGAAGAGCUGUAACACUAAGAAGAGCUGUAACACAGUAAAGGCUUGCUCGCAGAAGAAUCCUGUUGCCGCGCGUUGUUCUUGCUGGCGGGACAUUGGGCGCGCGACACUCCGCCACCAACCCCAUGAUUUGUUACUCUUAUGAUGGAAAGUUCUCAGCUCCUGCUCCAGGGGUAUGCUGUCUGCUUCCAGCCAUGAGGAUCAUAGAUUAAGCCCCUCCAAAAAACUAUUGCCAAGAGCCCAUUAAAUGCUUUAUUAAAAA